GCCCAGGUAGCUCAGUUGGUAGAGCAAAGGACUGAAAAUCCUUGUGUCGGUGGUUCGAGUCCGCCUCUGGGCACCA
rnacentral:tRNA from 1 species